UGUGUAGGCGGACUGGUGGGUCGAUGGUGAAAGCUCCGGGCUCAACCCGAAAAUUGCUGUCGAAACUACCGGUCUAGAGAGCAGGAGAGGGAACUGGAACUUCCGGUGUAGCGGUAGAAUGCGUAGAUAUCGGAAGGAACGCUAAUAGCGAAGGCAGGUUCCUGGAAUGCAUCUGACGCUGAGACACGAAAGCUAGGGGAGCGAACA
rnacentral:rRNA from 1 species